rnacentral:rRNA from 1 species
GACGAACGCUGGCGGCGUGCUUAACACAUGCAAGUCGAACGGACAGGCCCUGCUUUUGUGGGGUGCUCGAGUGGCGAACGGGGGAGUAACACGUGAGGAUCCUGCCCUUGACUUUGGGAUAACUUCAGGAAACUGGGGCUAAUACCGGAGAGGAGCUCCUGCAGCAUGGGGGGGGUUGGAAAGUUUCGGCGGUUGGGGAUGGACUCGCGGCUUAUCAGCUUGUUGGUGAGGUAGGGGCUUACCAAGGCUUUGACGGGUAGCCGGCCUUGGAGGGUAACCGGCCACAUUGGUACUGAGAGACGGCCCAGACUCCUACGGGACGCAGCAGUGGAAAAUAUUGCGCAACGGGCGGACGCCUGAUGUAGCGACGCCGCGUGCGGAAUGACCUCCUACUGGUUGUAAACCGCUUUCGACUGUGACGAAGCGUGCGUGACGGUAAUGGAUAAGGAGGCACCGGCUAACUACGUG